ACUGGCUUGCCUGUAGAAUGCCUCCUCAUUCUUUACAACCUGUAUCAAAUAUUACCUUCUCCAGUCUCCCCACCUGGAAGCAGUUCCCUCUUCCUCUUUAUUCCUGAAUCCAGUGUUUGGGCUUUUCUGUGGGAGGAGUUAUCUGCUUUCUCUCUUUUUAUCACAUCAAUUAACACCCUGUGAGUCUUCCUUGAGACACUGGGAGAUGAGAAGUGUGAGUACUGUAAACCCCUGUUUGGACAUGAGAAAUCUAAGACUCAGAAUGUUAGAUGAGCAGAAGCCAGGCCUCCUGACUCCCACACCAUCUGGGUGGGAGCCAGCCUGCUUCCUCUGCAGAACCACCUCUGUUGUCUCUGGGAAUGAAUCUUCUGGAGUUGUGCAGUGCACAGCCUGGGCAACUGUAUUUUACAGCCCUGCCUUGGUGUCAGGCUCAAGGUCCUACUUGAGGCAGAUGCUCCAUAAAUGUGGGCGAAUUCAGCAGAACCACAAUUCAGAGGAAAGAGGAAUGCUGGACCCUGCUGUUCAGAUGCCUUACCACCACCCCGACUCCCCUGUCCCCCAUCAAUUCCAGGUGACAGAACCAAAGGCAACCUUAUUGGCCAAGCAGAGUGAAGCUUCAGGGAGUUCUGGGGAGCUUCCUUGGGGUGUGUGUGUGUGGGGGGUGUGGUUAGGCGGAUGGACGGGCUGCAUGUGCCCAUUCUGAGGGUCCAGCUGCUGCUUUUACUGGGUGCAUGAUAAGCUGUGGAACGCACGUGCAGUUUUAUGGGAAGAAAGUGUUGGCUCGCACAAAACAAAUUUGAGUAUCCUGAUGGAGUUCACCACCCCCUGUUUAAUGAAUAGUGACACUGAGGCUCAGAGAAGGAGAGUGACUUGCUCCACAAGCAGUUGAUGGCAGAGCUGGGCCCAGAACUCACAUGUCCUGACUCUGAACUCUGUGCUUCAUGCCCACCACAGCUCAGGCCAGGCGGGACCAGGAGCUGCCUGCCUAGAGUAAGAAUGGAAGCUCUUUCCUUGUCAGACAGAAAUUUCAAGCAAGGCCUUUUUGGAUUUUAUUAAGCAGGACAUGACUACUAAAGUAGGGGAAACCCAGCUUACUUACAUUCCCCUCUCCAUCUUUAUUGAUAUAACUGACAUAUAAUAUAGUGUAAGUUUUGAACCGAUGGUUACCAAGCAGGAAGGGAGAGGGAUGGGAUAGUUAGGGAGUUUGAGACUGACAUGUACCCACUGCUAUAUUAAAGUGGAUAAUCAACAAGGACCUACUGUAUAGCCCAGGGAACGCUGCUCAAUGUUAUGUGGCAGCAUGCAUGGGAGGGGAGUUUGAGGGAGAAUGAAUACAUGUAUAUGUUUGGCUGAAUCCCUUUGCUGUCCACCUGAGAUGGUCACAGCAUUGUUAACUGGCUAUACUCCAAUAUAAAAUAAAAAGUUAAAAAAAUAUUGUAAGUUUCA
ensembl:lncRNA